GGAAAGCGCAGAAAGUUGAAUAUCAUUCAGAAUGAUGGUCAAUCACAAGCAAAAGAGCAAUCAAUUGAAAGCUCUACUGAAGUGAACCAAAAUAACAACUCUAUACUUGAAGAAAAUGCACAAUUUGAAGGAGAACAACACAUACAAGAAGAUAGUCAUGUUCAGUCUCAUACUUCUCUUGAAAGUGCAAGUGAAAGUUCAACUAAAGAAAAUAAGCAACAUCAACAAAAGGAGCCGCUCAAAAUAUGAGGACUUGCAUUGCAUGGGAAC